CUUAUUUCUUCUAACCACGCGGACGAAGUCGCGGGCAGCAGCUAGUAAGGAUAAACAACGCUAUCUACUGCAGCAGACGCUACCGGCGCCCACGCAGCUGCGGAUGUGACGUCACUUAUGGCGCCAAAUACAAAAAAAUCAUGAAAAAAAAAUGAAAAGUUUUUUCAUGUUUUCUCGAUGUGUCGACAUGAAAAUAUUGAUAUUCAUGAAGUGUAAAUAUCAUUUUAUUUAUAGCAGUCCUUGGUAGGCGCGGACUUUGUUCCGUAACUUCUGCACUUGUCCUAUUGACAUUAUUUUGUGAUUAGUCUAUUAAUUGGUAUUGAGUGGUGAUUACUGCGGCGAUUAUUUUUGUAAUGAGGAGUGAUAAGGAGUCUUUGGCAGUUUAUUGCUACCUACACUGUGUCAUAGAUAUUCUUAUAUAAAUGUAUUGAUUCGA